GUAGGAGUUGGAGGGGACAUAGAGACAACAUGUAUUAUUCUGGGUAGGUGUUAGAGCUGGGACAUAGAGACAACAUGUAUUAUUCUGGGUAGGAGUUAGAGCUGGGACAUAGAGACAACAUGUAUUAUUAUGGAUAGGAGUUAGAGGGGACAUAGAGACAACAUCUAUUACUCUGGGUAGGUGUUAGAGCUGGUCAUAGAGACAACAUGUAUUAUUAUGGGUAGGAGUUAGAGGGGACAUAGAGACAACAUGUAUUAUUCUGGGUAGGUGUUAGAGCUGGGACAUAGAGACAAUAUGUAUUGUUCUGGGUAGG
ensembl:lncRNA